UACAGAGAGAAGCAAUNCGGUGACGCAAAGCGGAACUUGAAAGCCUGUCUCAGUUCGGAUUGGAGUCUGCAACUCGACUCCAUGAAGCUGGAUUCGCUAGUAAUCGCGCAUCAGCCAUGGCGCGGUGAAUACGUUCCCGGGCCUUGUACACACCGCCCGUCAAGCCAUGGGAGCCGGGGGUACCUGAAGUGCGUAACCGCGAGGAUCGCCCUAGGGUAAAACUGGUGACUGGGGCUAAGUCGUAACAAGGUAGC
rnacentral:rRNA from 1 species